rnacentral:rRNA from 1 species
AUUAAUAAGCGGAGGAAAAGAAACUAACAAGGAUUCCCUCAGUAACGGCGAGUGAAGCGGGAAGAGCCCAGCACCGAAUCCUCCGCCUUGACGGGCGGCGGGAACUGUGGUGUUAAGGACAGCUCAUGGGGAUCGUUCGGGAACCCGAGUCCUCCUGAUCGGGGCUUCACCCAGAGCGGGUGUCAGGCCUCUACGGCUCCCGGCCGGUCCUCUCGAGUCGUCCUAGGAGUCGGGUUGUUUGAGAUUGCAGCCCAAAGUGGGUGGUAAACUCCAUCUAAGGCUAAAUACAGACACGAGUCCGAUAGCGCACAAGUACCGUGAGGGAAAGUU